UGAGGCGCAUGCCCUGACCCAAACCCUCCGCCCCCCUCCCCAAGAGUCGACUGGCAACGCAGCCCCCCAGCCUCUUUUGGUGUCGGAUGCGAGUCUAUCCUUAAGUAAGAAAUCAGGCCUUACUGGAGACAUUCAAGCAAAGAUUGGACAACUCCUUUUCCAGAACAGAAAGGAAACCCAUGCAUCAAGAAAGGUGACUAAUAACGUACCAAAAGAAUAUGGCUGCACAAAUACCAGAAUCUGAUCAGAUAAAACAGUUUAAAGAAUUUCUUGGAACCUACAAUAGACUUACAGAAACCUGCUUUUUGGACUGUGUUAAAGACUUCACAACAAGAGAAGUAAAACCAGAAGAGACUACCUGUUCAGAACAUUGCUUACAGAAGUACUUAAAAAUGACUCAACGAAUAUCUAUGAGAUUUCAGGAAUAUCAUAUUCAGCAGAAUGAAGCCCUAGCUGCCAAAGCAGGACUCCUUGGCCAGCCACGAUAGAGAAGUCCUAACGGAUGGACUUUUGAUGAAAAAUUGCCAACAGCUAUUGCACUGGAAAUGAGGAUUCACCUGAUGGAAUCCUCUAAAAGCAGUAGCCACCAUGUUAAACCAUCUGUCAUGACUGGCAAAUGGAAACAACUGGAGAAACAAAAUUGUUAUAUACAGGAAUAAUCAAAAUAGAAGGUCUAAUUGUUCAAUGAAAAUAAUAAAAUGCAACACUUGUUGAGGCCUUCAGAUUCAGCAGCUUGGUCACUUGAUUAGAAAAAUAAACCAUUGUUUCUUCAAUUGUGACUGUUAAUUUUAAAGCAAAAUAUCAUGUAUGAGAUAGAAAAAAUUGUAUUACUAUAAGUAAAAUAAAUGGAAAUAUCACCGAG